rnacentral:rRNA from 1 species
CUGGGCGUAAAGCGUGCGCAGGCGGAUUGUUAAGCAAGACGUGAAAGCCCCGGGCUUAACCUGGGAAUGGCGUUUUGAACUGGCAGUCUAGAGUGCGUCAGAGGGGGGUGGAAUUCCACGUGUAGCAGUGAAAUGCGUAGAGAUGUGGAGGAACACCAAUGGCGAAGGCAGCCCCCUGGGAUGACACUGACGCUCAUGUACGAAAGCGUGGGUAGCAAACAGGAUUAGAUACCCUGGUAGUCCACGCCCUAAACGAUGUCAACUGGUUGUUGGGGGAGUGAAAUCCCUUAGUAACGAAGCUAACGCGUGAAGUUGACCGCCUGGGGAGUACGGUCGCAAGAUUAAAACUCAAAGGAAUUGACGGGGACCCGCACAAGCGGUGGAUGAUGUGGAUUAAUUCGAUGCAACGCGAAAAACCUUACCUACCCUUGACAUGUCCAGGAUCCUGCAGAGAUGCGGGAGUGCCCGAAAGGGAAUUGGAACACAGGUGCUGCAUGGCUGUCGUCAGCUCGUGUCGUGAGAUGUUGGGUUAAGUCCCGCAACGAGCGCAACCCUUAUCAUUAGUUGCUACGCAAGGGCACUCUAAUGAGACUGCCGGUGACAAACCGGAGGAAGGUGGGGAUGACGUCAAGUCCUCAUGGCCCUUAUGGGUAGGGCUUCACACGUCAUACAAUGGUCGGUACAGAGGGUUGCCAAGCCGCGAGGUGGAGCCAAUCCCAGAAAGCCGAUCGUAGUCCGGAUUGUUCUCUGCAACUCGAGAGCAUGAAGUCGGAAUCGCUAGUAAUCGCGGAUCAGCAUGUCGCGGUGAAUACGUUCCCGGGUCU